AGAAAGAAAAAAAAAAACUAAAAAACCGACCCGGCCCCGACCCAACUCCACCCCAUCCUAAUCCCACCACCGCCACCACCACACCCACCACCACUCCCCAUUCUCCCCCUUCGCCCAAACCCUAAACCUAGCGGCGUUCGCCUCUCGAUCGCUCAACUUUGAACCAUGACCGGCAGUGGAGUAGUGGAGCGCCACACCCGCCCGCCGGCGCUGGCAGCGGCGGCGGCGGCGGCGAGGAAGCCCGCUCCCGGCCAGCCCUGGUCCCACUUGGAGACGGUCCACCUCAUCGAGGCCUACGAGGAGAAGUGGUACUCCCUCAAGCGUGGACAGCUCAAGGCCCAUCAGUGGGAGGAGGUCGCCGCCGCCCUCGCCGCCCGAUGCGGCUUCGACGGCCUCUCCAAGAACGGCACCCAGUGCCGCCACAAGAUCGAGAAGCUCCGCAAGCGCUACCGCGCCGAGCGCCUCCGCCCCAACCCCUCCGCCUGGCCCUACUUCGACCGCAUGGACCGCAUGGAGCGCGGUCCCCUCCCGAUCUCCGUCCGUCCCCCGGUCUCGCCCGCCGCCGCCGCCGCCGCCGCAGUUGGCGAGCCCUCCAGCGAGGAGGACGAGGACGAGGAAGAUGAGGAGGAGGAGCGGAUGGCGAGCAACACCAGGAGCAUCAACGGCAUCCUCCGGGAGGGAAACUGGGGGUUUUCUAGGGUUUCGAGGAAUCCCAGGUCCAGAAAAAGGCGAGCUUUCGAGGAGGAGGAGGAGGAGGACGACGACGACGACGAAGAAGAGGAGGAGGAGGGGAUGGGAGGGCGAGGGGAGGCGCUGUCGCAGCUGGCGGUGGUGGUGAGAAUGUUUGGAGAAGAGCUGGUGAGGAUGGAGAAGAGGAGGAUGGAGGUGCUGAGGCAGGUGAAGAGGGAUUGGAUGGAGAUGGAGGCGAAAAGGGCCGAGAUGGUUAUGGAAUCGCAGCAGUGCCUCGUGGACACCAUCGCCAAUGCUUUCUCUUCUCUAAAGAAGGCCAAGAAGUCCCAGGAUUCGUGAGAAUGCCAGGAAAGGAAGGAAAAAUAUUCACUUCUGCUCCAUCGACGGUGGUGUCAAGGAAAACAUGUCAGCUAUUAUAAGAGAGGAAUCUGAAACAUUUUCGAAUCACUAUCAAGGUGAAUUGAAAAACUUAGUCUGGCUAAUAUAAUCUAGCUCUGCCUCCACAUCUCAGUGCUCUUUGUGAUGAAUCCAGCAAAUUGUUAUCCUAUCUGAAAUCCAUGAAAUUUCAUCCUAGAGAGCAACAAUAUUAUAGUAGGAAAUAUAAUUUGGUUGAAUAUUUGAGAUUUCAAUGGUCAGCUUAAGUCAUAGAACUUCUUGAGUUCAGAGGUUAUUGGAGUACAUGGAGGUUCCAAAAGAAAGGGAAUUCGAACUGUUUCUGUAAACCUAAGGUCUCUGUUUUUGCAUGGUGGGAAGUACUACAGCUGCAACAAGUUCAAUGAUGUUGAAAUGUCGUAAAGAUAAAUUUCUAUUUAGUGAGUAUGACACAGUUUUUUCUAUAACUGGUGUAUCAAUGUCGUACUAAUAUCAAAAAUAAUGUUUCAUUUCUUCUGAUAUUCUCCAGUAUCAAAUUGGUUAAAAGUUGAAACAAAAUUUGAAAUCGAAUAUGAAAUGUUUAAUGAGUUGAACUAUGGAGGAAUCUUUUGAAUUUCAUUUGCUGUUGUUUUUGACUAAUUAUCUUUGAUAUUCUACCAGAAAAAGAAAAAUAUCUUUGAUAUAGGAGAAAUUAUUGAUGAUAAAGCAUGAAUCAGUUUUCUAUUGAAUUAAUAUCAAAAGUUCUUGGGAGAUCCUAAUGAAUCUUUGGAUGUAUGUGAGUAUUAAAUAGAGAAAAAUUUUGGAAUGCUGAGCCUGAGGGAGAAGAUAUCUAAUUAUAAGCAUAUGGGUGCAUGCUAACUUUCAAGGCUGAACUUUGAAGUAUUUGAAUGUUAAGAACAAACUAUUAAGAUUAAAAAUUUAAUGUGGAGAUGGACAAUUUAGCAUCACCGUUAACUAUAUAAACAUUAAUUGUCAAGGUACAUGAUAUAUUAUAACCAAGAAAGUAAGUGCAACAGCAUCUAAUGUUUCAAACAUUUAUUGUCAAGGUACAUGAUUCAAGUAUAAAACAUUUUGGAAUGCAAAUUGUAUCAUGAGAAGGUACCAAUUGAGGAUUGAACAAUGGUGGAUUAAAGCUCAGGUCUCUUGGAUGAAUUAAGGUAUAUGUAGCAUUAUUUUGGUUAGUGUUGAGUAAAAUCCUGCUAGGAUCAAAUUAGAGGAGUUUUAGAAACUGAUUUAUUUUUUUUUUAUUGUCUUUGAUUUUUUAAUUCGAUAAUAAAACUUCUUUGGUUGAUUGGAUUUAGUAUCUACUUUAAGGAAGGACCCUUGUGAUUAUCUUUUGGGAUUAUAUCAGUUGGCUGUACAGGGGAUAAAAUCUUAGUUGAAUGAGUAUUCUCUGGAAAACAUAUGUGAAAAUCAUGACCAAAUAUUGACGGGCUGUCUGAAUCUCUUCGGUCAACUAUUGGGAGUUCUUAAUGGACCCAUUAAGUUGGUCCCAUAGGCCUAUGAGUUGUUCGUUUUGGAUGGGGUAAUAGAUAUAUACAUAACCAGCUGUUGUUUUAUUUGAUGCAUUGUUUUGCUGAAUUACUAUCAGAUUUUUGUAUUUCUGCUUGCUUUUUCUUCUACCUUUUUAACCCAAAGAAUGUUGGUUAUUAGAGGAAAAUUGGAAAGUUUCCUUAGAACAUGGAAGGUACUGGACAAAUGGCUUGUCAAAAACAUUGACUGGUAUUAUUGUUGAAGUGUCAAACAGUGGCUACUUGAAGUUCUUUGCUAGUUUAGACAACUUUUUGGUCAGUAUUGUGAAAGUAUUUUUGAAGUAUUUAUUAGCUAUAUGUGAAUACCUUUUAUCCUUGAUUAUCAUAAAACUUGUAUAAAGAAAUUUGUGUACUUAACAUGCUUUAAGCUGGCUAACGAAGUUUUGUAGGCAAACUCCUUGGUGGAUUCUUGUCCAAAGUUAAGGAGAUAAUGGCAAUUUGAGCUUUAAUUUGGACCAAGUCAGUUGGUCUGUGGACAAUCACUUACAUCGUUUGUUUAUUACUUUUCCAAUCACACUUUAUUAGCCCUUUAAACUAUCAUCUUAUUGGUAAUGACUUCUAUAUGUUUUUUAUUUCUUUCUCUUUUUAUUUAUUUUCAAAGUCAAAAUUCUUCACUAGUUGAGUAAGCGGAAAAUGUAUUAUGAAAAUUGGGUGAUAUAAAAUCUUGACUAUUAUGAAUAUUGCUCUACUAGUGAAGUUGUUGUUUACUUUUGUGUUGCUUAAAACGGGUUUAUGUUGUAAAGAUGUUGUCAAUGGAAUAUAAGGAGCAGUUAAAUGUGGAAGAAGAUCGGUUGUAAUGGCUGGAUAACAUUUAGGAAGAUCCUUACUCCCUUAAAAAAUGCUCAUAUAUAAUUAAUAUAAGCAUAAUAUAUGUGUAAUUAUGUACUAUAAAGCUUUUUAUAGCAUAAUAUUUAAAAAUAUUAUAGCUUAGCAAAACGGUCUUAAAUGAUGACUCCUAUUACCAAAGAACUGUUAAGAAUUAUAUCCGAACUCAAAAGGACAUGGAACUUUUAGAUGCUUCAUCCUCCUUUUUAUAUUGUCCUGCUUGCGUUGUCUUGGUUGUUGCUUGCAAGGUUUUUAAUCUCAAUACUGGGUCUACUACUAGUAGCUUGUUGGAGGGGGUUGGUUUGGUAGAGUACAUCCUUGUACCGACACAUGAUAUUAAGCCUCCAUAUUCUAUUGGUAUAUUAUGAUAUCGGUACGACACAUCCAGUACUAGCUAAUAUGAGCAGAAAAGAUUGAUUGCUUGCAUCUAGGAAUGGCAAUCAGGUCGGGCUAGGUUGGAUAUAGGUCAGAUCGAAUGCAGAUCAAGUUAAAAAUCUGUUAACCCGAACCUAAUCUAUUUAUUAAACCGAUCAAGAAAUCCAAUCCGAACUUGACCUUUUUAUUAAACAGGUACCGACUUGACUCACAUUACUUGUUUAAUAAAUAGGUUGAAUUAGAUUAAAUAGUUUAAAUGGGUUAAGCGAGUCUUAAAUGGUUUAAACAGGUCUUAAACAAGUUAAACAGAUUGGCUCAUGACCAGACUCGGCUAUUAAAUGGGUUAAAUAGAUCAGAGGUCUGAACCUAAACCCAACCUGUUUAAUAAAAGGAUCUAGGUGGGUCGAUCUAUGUAUAGAGCAAACUUGUUUAUACCAAACCUAAACCUGUUUAAAAUGGAUUGAUUGCGGGUCGAUUGGCUGGUCGGGUCAUAAAUUGCUACCCCUACUUGUUUUGGUGAUGUGACUUAACUUUUAUAUAUGUCUUCUUCUAGAGUCAUUUGGGAAGGUCUCUCACCCUAGAUGCAAGGACAAAUAGACCUUUUCCAACUCUAAUUGGUUUGCAUUAUUGAUAUAAAAUGGUUUGAGGUAAAAGGGAAGCAUUUCAACUUUUAUAUUUUCUAUUUCCCAAUCUGCAUUUUGAAGUGAACAUGCAUAGUAUAAUUCUUCCUACGUUUUUACAUUCAUAGGCACUACUUUAACAUCCUCCUUGAUACUUAUUAGUCAAUGAGUUUCCCAUUUGGGAUGGCUUCCCUUGUUUGCUCUUUGGCCAAAGACUAUUCGUGCUGCGUGGUUGGGGGGGCCUUGCUAGGUCCAUGACAUUUGGAAAAUUGCAAUGGUUUUGCCAACCGUUGGAGGUUUGCUAGUGAUCGCUUGACAACUUGUGAAUCAUCAUCUCUUCUGGGGAAGGAUUCUGCCACAUUUAGGCCUUUGUUUCCAUCUCUCAAGCUCACCUAAAAGCAUCUUUAUUCACACCAAACUCCCUGCUAAUGAUAAAUAAUUACGUGAUAAGUCAUCACCAAUAGGUCUAGUCUUAAGAGAAAGGCAGUUAAUAUUUCUAGUUUGGGGCUAAUUUAGAUUUGACCAAGAUUAAACUUGUAACAUAACAAAACAGCCUAAACAAGCUUAUGUAGGAACUCUUUGUUGUUUGUUCCACUCAUAUGUCAUUGGUACUAAGCUCUUGGCUUGAGUAGCUCGCGUCAUUCUCCAGUAGGGUGGCUGAGCCAAAACCCUAUAUAAGUUGCAGUUCAUCAAGCACUGAGGCAUUGCAUCCCCAAGGCUUUUUGUGUCUGGAAUGCCACUCAUUCUAGGAAGAUUUUCAUGCUUGGUCAAUAAAGAUUUGGUUCUUUUGUAAGUUAUUUUGCUUGCUUGUAGUUUCUCUUUGUAAAUCAUUUCUCCUUCUACAAUUUGAGCUUGGUUGAUUUUUUUCUCUAUAGCCAUCCAUCUCUUUCUCCUAUAAGAUUUGGCUCUCCUAUAGGAUUUCCUCUUGAUUGCCUAUUUUAGUUUCUCUUGGUCAACAACUUCCUUGGAUGGUAUCUUGGUAUCUAGCUGGAUUGGCAAUUCUUUAGGCUUGGCUAUCUUUUUUCUCCAUAGCCUGUCCAUUGAUGAGAAGUCUCACGUCUUUGAUGCAUGAAUGACAACACAAACCCUGUUAUAUUUGGGUGCUCCAACUUACUUGUAUCAGCCUCAAAGAAUCUCUUGGCUUUAGAUCCUUCAAGGCUCAAGAUUCUGUCCUUUAAUACCACAUAGGAAGGUUUGACAAUUUGAUCCAAAGAGGUUGUAUAUCAAAGGACCCCUUCUUUCAUUAGAAGUCCUUUAUUUUUUGAGAAAAAUAUUAGAAUUGACCAUCACAUAACUGAGGUCUAUCCAUCAGCACUUAGUCCUAUUUGCUUCAGUCUUGAUUGAAAUAUAAAAGCAGUGAUUUUUUUUACUGCACAUUUCCUGAUAUCCCCAUUAAAUUUUCAACAAAAAUUUCAUUAGAAACAUCCAAACGAGACAAACCUCUAUUUCUCUUUUCUUUUUAAGAAGCAUUGUCCAAGAUAAUUAAAUUAUUAAUAUAUAUUUUCUUAAAGUUGCUUUUUUAAGAAACAUUUCUCUUGGUGUUGCCGUUGUUUUGGUUUCUUUGUCAGCUUGCUAAGCCUUAAGAGGGACCACUGCUCCAGGUAGAGGUGUAACUUUAGUGCUUAUAUUGCUACUUUCUGUUUUUCUAACUGAUUUGGUGAUUGCAUCCAUGGCUUGGAUGCUGAUGAUCUACAUGAGGCCCUCUUGAUCACCACUUGUGGAGGCACUUGCAGUAUCUCUCACCUAAAGAUGUAGGAGGGGAUAGGGCAUUGUAUGUUGACUUUAAUCAGAGCAUGGAUGAUGUAUAUGAUUGCAAAUAUUCAAAGAACAAAAAGGUGCCCAAGAGACCCUGAGAUCUUCAUAUACUUGACUUGCAAGAGGUGCUUUGGGAGGUCAAGGUAUGAAGGUUGGAAUUAGUAUUGGAAUUAGUAUUUUUGAAAGAUGCAAGUUAUAGAAAUUUCUUAUUUCCUAUGGAUAAAUAUUACGUAUUAUAACAGUUCUAGAAAAAUAUCUUAAAAAAAGUGGCGAAUAUAUAUUCAUUACUGGAUUUCUAUUUGAUUUGGGAAAGCAAUACUACAAGUUAACAAUAAUCGAUUUAAGAUGGGGUGGAAGUGUAGUGACUUAGUGAGAUUUCGAAGCAGCUGGAUCCCCUGUGAAGAAGGUAGAAGCACUAAGUAUAGUAAAGGAGGACUAGUGAUGUAUAAAUGUAGAUGCUACACUGGAAGGGAUCCAUUUGGACUUGAGGACUCGCUGUAGGAAUUUAUCAACAUGAAAAUAAUUUGGAGUUUAGGAAAUUUAAAUACCAGUAACAUGUGGAUAAAUACAAUUAUGCAAGACAAAAAUUGGUUUCACAAUAUGCUAUACUAUUGGUGGGGUAGUCUAUUUGUCUUCAUGAGUUAGCAGGUUAGUAAAUCCAUUGGUGGAUCCUUGCAAGAAAAACAGGGUAAGCACUCUAUUUAAAGCAAUCCGAUCAUGUACGAUGACCAGGCUGCCACUUUGUGCUAAUGUUGUGAUACUUAUGAUGAUUUUCUUCAAUUAUCAAAAUGCAUGGUCCAUGUUUUGGGUACCGCACAUGAAUUGUAGGGAAAAAAGCUCUAAAUACCAUUAUAGAAUACCACAAAAACUGCAAUAUCACAUCAAAUAACUGAGGAUUAGGGUUAUUAAUGGCUAGUAGGGACUUCCUGAUGGUCCGUGUGAGGGAUUGGAAGAUCAGAAGUAAGAUAUACUGCUUUAUAUGGACUCUAGUGUUCUCCUCAAAGAAUCUGAGUCAGGUAAAUACUCAUUAAAUUCUUCGUUACAACUUUUAAAGAUCAAUGGAGAAUUGACCAUUCUAGCAAGAAGUUUGAUCCAACAAUGCCACUGGAAUAGAUUUCUAUUGUUUUCAGAGCUAGGAUAUCGAUGUAGGGAAAGGAAAAACUUUGCAGAAUGUCAUAAUUCUUGUAUUCUUGUAUUCAUAUGCUAUAUUGGAGUUUGGUUCAGGAUUAUGCAUAUUGGAACUACUUGACAAAUAAUAUAUUUUACUCUAUUAUAAAUCUAAAAUCCCUGAAUUAUAAUUUAGUUAAAAAUUAAUUUCAUCAAUGCUAAAUAGGUCUAGAGGGGCCUUUCCUAUGAUUGUUGAUUUCAUGUAUGGUAGGUUGGAGAGAUCUCAAGGCAAAUUCUGGCUGCAUUGUUCACCAUGACCAAUAAAUCUUUAGGGGCAUCCUUGUAAAAGUUGGGAAGCAAAUCUUCAAUACCUUCAUAUAACUACAGCCCAGCAUUUUUAGCUGGAUUGUGAUGACUUGUUGGAUUCCGCCGAACCUCCGUGGCGCUCCGCAGGCGUCUGCGGCCACUUCUUCCCCCUCCCUCCCCCGCUUGCUCUCUUUUUCUCUGCGUCUUCUCUAGAUUCGGCUGGUUUCUCUCGGUAUGACUCCGAUACCGAGCCGGACCAAUCACCGACCGGUACGGCAUCCGGUACCGGUUCGGCACUCCUUGGUUACAAUACUCUCUGGACUUCUAAAGAACAAUGGAAUGUCUUUCUUGUGUAGGAAACAUACAUCACAUGGUUAUGUUCUCAUGUCUAUAUAUUAUUUGGCUGUUAUUCCAUCUGUAAUAGAGAAAACUAGUAAUUUUGAUUGUCAAGGAGAACGUAGGAAUUACAUGGAGAUAUAUGUAAUUCUAGGUUAUGUAGUAGUUGCUUGUUAGUAAAACUACAGAUAUUAUGCUGUGUCAUUGGGCAUUAAGCAAAACCUCAAUAAUACUCGCUACUAAUUUGAUUGCUUGUGUUAUUUGGAUUUGAUUGUUGUAGUGGUAGUAAAUUAGAGGGAGUGCACAUAAACAAUAUAGCUGGCAAAUACAAGGGUGUUGAGGUGGAUGUGGAGCAAAAUUAAGAGGGAUUAAGCUAGAAAACAUUGCAUGAGAUGGCUUACUUGCCGCCCUACUGGAAGAAAGACAUGUAAUGAGAUCAUUUUCCUUGCUUGGCAAUGGCAGAAAACUGCAGCAAAUACUCUUUUUUUCUUUUUGAACUUUUGGGAGGGCAGGUUUUGUUUGGGGUGUUCACUAAGUUUAUAAAUAUGUAUCUGCGAGGGGUUAUUACAUAUUUCUGGACCUUGCGAUAGCUAUUUAUGCCUUUGCAAGCUGAUAUGUCUCUGGUUCUGGCUGUAUGAAAAUGUGUUGGUGGAUGCAGCGGACAUCGAUGCAUAGCUGUUACUCUUUGCAUGUUGAGUGCUGAGUUGAUAAUCUCAAAGCUGAAUGCAUGAAAAUAUUUCGAGCUCUGGAGUUUAUAUUUGAGGACCUAAAUGCAGGUUAAAAUGUUUAUUGGUGUGGCUGACAUCGAUACAUAGCUGUUACUCUCUGCAUAUUACGCACUGAGUUGAUAAUAUUGGAGCUGAAUUUAUGAACAGAUUUCAUGCUUGGUUGUUAAUUGUUCACUACCGUGGGUGUACCUAGGCAGUUUGUACAUCUGCUCUGUGGAGAAUUCCGUCUAUAAGAGAAGUGAUUUUCAUAUUUGAAAAUCAUAAUUUCGGGCAUCACAAAAAAAGCAACUUGAUUGUUGUGCCAAAAAGCUCAACCCCAAUCAUUUAUCAAUGAAAGAUUGCUCUAAUCCUGACCAAGGGGGGACAGGCCAGACGCCUUUGGCAUGUUAUCCCUGUUGAGGCACCAGCAACCGAUGCAGGCAAUGGGGCCCAACGCUGGAGUGUUUUCAGAAUACCAUGAGAAGCCACAUAGAAAAGAGAGAUGUUUGCCCCAUUCUUUCGGAUUAGGAUUGUCUGGAAACCAGGGAGUGUACGCGAUUUUAUUUGGA